rnacentral:rRNA from 1 species
GACGAACGCUGGCGGCGUGCUUAACACAUGCAAGUCGAACGGAAAGGCCCUGCUUUUGUGGGGUGCUCGAGUGGCGAACGGGUGAGUAACACGUGAGUAACCUGCCCUUGACUUUGGGAUAACUUCAGGAAACUGGGGCUAAUACCGGAUAGGAGCUCCUGCUGCAUGGUGGGGGUUGGAAAGUUUCGGCGGUUGGGGAUGGACUCGCGGCUUAUCAGCUUGUUGGUGGGGUAGUGGCUUACCAAGGCUUUGACGGGUAGCCGGCCUGAGAGGGUGACCGGGGACAGUGGGGCUGAGGUACGGCCCAGACUCCUACGGGAGGCAGCAGUGGGGAAUAUUGCACAAUGGGCGGAAGCCUGAUGCAGCAACGCCGCGUGCGGGAUGACGGCCUUCGGGUUGUAAACCGCUUUCGCCUGUGACGAAGCGUGAGUGACGGUAAUGGGUAAAGAAGCACCGGCUAACUACGUG